CCUACGGGGGACAGCAGUGAGGAAUAUUGGUCAAUGGUCGGGAGACUGAACCAGCCAAGCCGCGUGAGGGAUGAAGGUACAGAGUAUCGUAAACCUCUUUUGUCAGGGAACAAAGGCGGGUACGUGUCCCCGUCUGAGUGUACCUGAAGAAAAAGCAUCGGCUAACUCCGUGCCAGCAGCCGCGGUAAUACGGAGGAUUCGAGCGUUAUCCGGAUUUAUUGGGUUUAAAGGGUGCGCAGGCGGUCUGUUAAGUCAGCUGUCAAAGCCCGGGGCUCAACCCCGGCCCGCCGUGGAAACUGGCAGGCUCGAGUUGGAGAGAAGUAGGCGGAAUGCGCGGUGUAGCGGUGAAAUGCAUAGAUAUCGCGCAGAACUCCGAUUGCGAAGGCAGCAUGCCGGCUCCAAACUGACGCUGAGGCACGAAAGCGUGGGUAUCGAACAGGAUUAGAUACCCCUGUAGUC
rnacentral:rRNA from 1 species